rnacentral:rRNA from 1 species
UACGGGGGGGGUAAGCGUUGUUCGGAAUUACUGGGCGUAAAGGGCUCGUAGGCGGCCAACUAAGUCAGACGUGAAAUCCCCGGGCUCAACCCGGGAACUGCGUCCGAUACUGGAAGGCUUGAAUCCGGGAGAGGGAUGCGGAAUUCCAGGUGUAGCGGUGAAAUGCGUAGAUAUCUGGAGGAACACCGGUGGCGAAGGCGGCAUCCUGGACCGGCAUUGACGCUGAGGCGCGAAAGCCAGGGGAGCAAACGGG